CGAUACCGAACUGUCUCUCGCCGCGGGCCCACCGUAGUAGUAUCCCAAAAGGCAUAACAAAGCAAUAAAAAUGAGGAUUUAAAUCCCAAUAUUUCUCUAUAAAUUCAAUCUCUCCGGCAUCGAGCCAAACACACCUCACUUCUUUUCACAGAACAUCCUGCAUAGCAUUCAAUACAGUAUUCAACAGAAUGCAUCCCGCCACUUUCGCUGCAAUCCACAUAAUGAUGAUCGCAUUUCUAGUGUUCGCGUUCGGAUCUCCGGUUACGGCACAGGACGCCAUAGCGCCUUCACCGGAAAUGGACACCGGAGCUGCUUUUGCGCUGCCGGUUUCUGGUAUUUUGGUUGUUUCUUCUGUUAUAAUAUCUCUGAGCAGGGCUUUGUGGUGGUGAAUUUCGAAGUUUUGGUACGUUGUCUGUAACUAUGCCUCUGUUGCUGAGUAUUGUGUGGAUGUGUGGUGAAGGUAAAAGAGGCUUUGUGCGAUGUUUUUAUGUUUCUGGUGGAGAGGAGGAGAGAUGUGAUUAUGAUUUUGCAAUUGAUGUGAUUUUAUGAAUGAUAAAUAAAUUCACAUUAAUUAAUUCUUUUUUUUUUUCUCUGUUCUGUUAUCAAAGUUCUUCCAAAAUAAAUAAAAAAUAAAUUCUAAUUAAAAAAAACACACUUACACACAAAAAAGUUAUAUAUUAAAAAAAUUAAAAUUAAAAGCAGUUUCUUUAUAAGCCAAACUAAGCUGUGUACCGGCUUUAAGAUGUUGUUGGCUUUUCUUAAAUGUGAAUUUUCAGGAUCGAGAUAUUUAGAUUGUCAUCAAAUCAAGUGGAUCUUCUGUAAAUCCUAAUCGAAAAUAUAUAAUUAAGAAAAAUUCAUAUUUAUAUAUUCUUAAAACAAAUUAUCAUUAUGCAUUAGCAUCUAAAUAUAAAAAUAUAAAAUAAGAAUACAAUCAAAAGUAUAAAACUUAUUUAAAAUUUACAAAAAUGAUAAUAUAUACCUAGAAAACAUUAAUAUUUCUAAUUUCAAAAAGGCAACAGCAGAGGCAUAUACCCCUCCACCUGAUUAAUGUAUUUUUAAUUUAUUAUGAAUAAAAUUAAAUAAAUUUAAUUUAAAUAAAUAUAAAGACAUAAAACUUAGAAACCAAACGAUCAAUCUAUGAAAAAAAUUCUUGACCAUGUUUGUGCUAAUAUUAUAUAAUUAAAAAUAAUGAAAAAUAAUCCCAAAUAAUUAAAUUAAAUUAGAUUUGAAAUAAUUUUCCAUCAUGUCUCUUCGAGGAAGAAAUUUUUUUAAGAAACGAUGGCACAGCAAAGUAAAAUGUCACAGAGCCCACCACCAACCUGGUCAGCUAUUUGUACACGUGGCAAUUAUACGUGGCUGCUAAAUUUUCACACUGGGGUCCACAGUUCCUCUAAAAUCCCCUAUUUAUAGACUCCUUGUUCACAAACCCUGGUCAUACUGUCAGUGUCCGAUUCCUGAGUCUGUGUUUCCUACUUUCCUCUGAGCUUUGGAGUUGGUUCAUCUUCAUCAUUCACCAAUGGCGUAAGAUAGCAUCGGCCUUCGUGCUCAUUCUCGCGGUGGCGAUCUUUGCGGCCGCUACCACUGUCUCGGCGAACAAUGAGGCUCCGGCGCCUGCUCCGUCUGCUGCAUCAUCGUUCUACUCACCGGUGUCCAGUGUUUUUGUUGUCUCUUUGGUCGCCUUCUCUGUUUUUGCUCUCUUGAAACAUUGAGUUUCGAUGCGUUGAAGAUUGCGUGAGGCGAUUUAGGAUUCCAUGGGAUUCAUUCAUUCGCUGCAUUAGUUUUAUAAAUGAAUUUAUUGUGAUCGCUGCAUUAGUGUUAAUUUAUUCUAAUGUAUUGAUCUGUUAUUCCCUUUCUGGAUCUCUGUUCUUGCCUCGGCAAUUACUGUGAUUAAUAAAGUAUCCUUUGUCAGUCUCUGCAAUAGAUUCUAAAAAUAUGAAUGAUCUAUUCUUGAUGAUUUUGCCACAAUUUCUUGCUGUUGAUUCUUUUAUUACAAGCAGAACUAGGCAAAACAAAAAUUAAGUGCUUGUUUGGAACCUCUUAAUGAAAACAGAUUUAUGACCUUUGGAGCAGAAAAAUUAUCCUGAAAACAAACAGUGUUUUAUUAGCGUAAGUUGUAUGUUAACCUUUUUUUCUGGCACGAAAACAUUGAAGUAUUUACAAAAGGAUUGGACUUAUUUUGGUUUCUCAAAUUUAAGAAAUUCAAUCUAUAACGAAAAGUGAGAGAAUAGGUUUUCUCAAAUUGUGGAAUAGCCUAAACACUUUCACAUAUUUUUUAUUUCAGAUUUCAGUAAUAAUAGGAUGGUUCCCUUUCUUUUGAUUUUACCGAAAUCAAGCAAAUAAGCCAUUAGAGUGUUUUGUUGUAUAUGUAGAUUGAUGCAUAUUAUUGUAGUGGAUAAUAAAACAAAUUAAUUAUUAUUUUUUUGUAUGUAUUUUUAAGAGAAUUAUUUAUUGUGUUUUUUCAUAAAACAUUGCAAAUAAUUUUUUAAUAUUAUAAAUGAUUUUUUAGAUUUUAAAACUAUUUUUAAAAUUUGGUUAAACACCAAUUUUUUGUUUUUUAAGUAUAUAUUUUUAAACUAAAAACACUUUUUAAAAUUAUUGUCUAAAGCAAAUGAUACUAUGAUAAAACAGUUAAAAAAAAUAGUACUUUGAAAAUUUUGCUUUUAAAAGUUAAUUAUUAUUUCAUUAUUUUAUAAUUUAGAAGCGUUAUUUAAUUAAAGUACUUUUGACUAUGAGCUUCUUAAGCUUUUAAGAAUAUACUAAUAUAAUUAUUUGUCAACUUAAGCCUUUUAAACUUUUAAGAGUAUAAGAAUACAAUUUUCAAAAUUUGAUUUAGAGUAUGUUUGAUAGUUAUUUUGAGAAGUGUUUUUAGUUUUUUUAUUUUUUUUUUAUUUUUUUAUUUUUUUAUCUUUAAAAUAUAAAAAAUAUUAUAAAUACUUCAUAAAAUUGCUAUGAAACGCACUCUUAUUCAAAUGUUAAAUGUGAGUUAAGAAAUAUAUUUUUAUUAAAUUAAAACUUUUAAAACAAAAUAAAAAAUCUAAUUUUUUUAAUAAGAAUAUUUUUAAAUAUAAUUACUAAACAUAAAAUUCAAUUUCCUAUACUAGAUUAAGAUAUUUCUUCUAAUAUAAUUAUGAGAUAAUUUUGACGAAGAGAUUGUCAUGAACAAAAUUUAUUGUUUACGAAAAUACACUAAUUUUUAGUUAUUAAUAGGGAUGACAAUGGGGCAAAUUUUUUCGACUACCUGUCCUGCUCCAUCCCUAAUGGGACGAUGUUCAAUUUUAAUAAACGGGUUUGAAAUUUUUUUUAGAAAUCGGGGGCAGGGGAUUUUCCCCGUCCCAUCCUAAUUAUAUAUAAAAAUAAUUUAAUUUAAAAUUUUAAAUUAUUUUAAUUUAAUUUUUAUUUUAGUAUUUUUAAUAUACAGAUAAUAAUAAAAUAAGUUAUAAAAAUAUAAUAAUUUAAUUAUUUAUAAAUAUAUAUUUAUUUUAAUGUAAUUAAAAAUUUUAAAAUAAUUUUAAAGAAAAUUAAAAUUCAAAAAAAAGUUAAACGGAACGGGACGGGACGGGGCGGGCAUAAGAAUUUAUCAUACAUUUAAUUUUUUAAAUGGGACUGGGAUGAGAAUUAUUUUGAAUAAAUGGGGUGGGAUUGGGAUGGAAGUGACCCGUUGUCAUCCCUAGUUAUCAUCUUCUUUAAAUGUUUUUUUAUAUUUAUAUUUAUUGAAAGUCCACAUGUGAUUGGAGCAAGUAAUAACUUCUUAUAACAUAGAUAACCCUAUUCUAGUUAUUAGUUAUAUAAAAAAUUAUUUUCUUUCAAUUAUAAGUGCUCAUAUUUUUAAAAACACAACAUUUAGUUUGUGCUCUCGAAAACACGAUGUUUAGUUUGUGUUAUUAAGAACACAACUUGGUUCGAAUUCUCAAUGGCAUGACUGAUUACUAGGUAUUGUUUCAUGUGAUCAUAGGGGACUUUUUAUUAAUGGUACUUUAGUUAAUUUUGAUAUUGAUUAAUUAUAAAAAAGAAUAUCAACAUUAAAUAGUUACAUGCGAUGAGUACCCUUCUACAUUUCACAAUUUUGUAUUUUCUCAAAUUUCACGCUUUUUUCAUUUAUUAACAAUAAUAACACUUUUUAUACUACAAUUAUGUUACAAAACACUUUAUAUUCCCUAUUAAUUUAAUUAUUUUUUAAAUAUAAUUACAGAAAAAAAAAAUUAGUUUAUGAUGUUUAUGUUUAAAAUAGAAAUAUCCAUACCAUAUCUAUAGGUCGGUCAUUAAUGAAUUUAAAUUUGAAAAAGCAUAAUAAUUAUCCUUUUUAAGAAAAUUGGAUAAAAUAAUCUCUGAAGUAAAAAGGACGACGGAACUUCAAUGGUAAAUCUUUUGUCUUUUGGCCCAGUCCUAGAGAGACGUUAGGUGGUUCUUAAAAGACAAAAGGGAAAAGGUUUGGCGCCUUCUCAGUUCUCCCACCCAACCGACCUCGGUGUGGACCAAUCGGCACAUGCAAAAUGAGCUGUUGGUACAGGUGGCAGCAUCUGACCAUCUGUCACUAUUCACUGUGGGGUCCAUACGUGAUCAAACCGCCUAUAUAUAGACCCCUCGUUCUAAAGCCCCAGCCAGAUCUAGUCGGUUCUCCAGUCCUGAAUAGUUCCUCCUGUUUCUCCGUCUCCGGUUGGUUCUACUUCUCUGUUCUCUUUCAGAUUUCGAGUUGGCUUUGCUCUAUCCUUCAUCAAUGGCGCAAGUUAGCAUCGCGAAGGCCUUAAUGCUCGUUUUCGUAGUCGCGAUCUUCUCUGCGGCUGCCACAGUCUCGGCGCUGGAUAACUCACCUGCGCCGGCCCCAUCGCCGGACGCUGGAUCGGCGUUCUCCCUCCCGCUAUCCGGCGCUGUUGUUGCCUCCUCUCUCGUUUUUUCUCUACUCGCCUUUUUGAAGUACUGAGUUUGGCUAUGAGAAGUUUUUAUCGUGGAGAUCGUGGAUUCAUUCUGUAGAGACUUUGAUGAUUGUAUUUGAUUUAUUCAUGAUCUACAUUAUUUAUUUAUUUUUAAGUAAAUAAAAUUUUAAUUAAUUUUGUUACAUUGAUCUGUCUAUUCCCUUUCUGAUUCCCUCUUACGCAAAUUUUGCUUGCUUUUGAUUUAAAAAAGAAUGCUUCAGAAAUCACAGUGAAAAGAAUAUUCAUCAGGAUUAUAGAUUUCAAAAGCAACUCCAACAAAUUAGUAUAUUGUUAUCAAUCAAUAUUUGAAGAUUAAUUUUUUUUUAAAUUUAAUUAGGAGAUAAAUUUGCAAUGUAAAAUUCUGGAUAAAAAUUAUUUAGCAUGAAUCAUUUUUUAUGAUGCAACGCCCCUGGAGGUGUAAAAUGGAGAAUUAAAAAGGAACUAAAGCAUCAAUGGCAACUUUUUUCUAGAAAAUGACAUUAAAAUUUGAAUUUAAGUCACAAUCCACUAUCCACAUUGGUUAUUAAGAUUAAAAUAGAGUUAUUGGAUGAAAGAUUUUGAGUGUACAAGAAUUUUAGAAGAUUUAAUGUUCUUCUACAUUGAAAGAAACAUAUUUAGGAACAUUCAAAUCUAAAGUAAAUUUUUUUUAUUUCUUUAAAUCUAGGUCCGUUUAUAUUUAAUAAUGCAUGCUUUCUUCCUUUGCUUAGGAUCUAGAGGCCUAGGAAAGUUUUUUCUGCUCUUAAUGUGAUAAUGGGAUAGGGAAUGAAGAAAUCUAAAAUUUCCUACAACAAGAAUAUCAUAGCCUAAUUUGAAGUUGAGAAAUGUAUGUUAAUGUUAUACUUUGUGCAAUAAAUUUAGUAAAAUAGUCACCAAGAAUGUUAUUGCUAAUUUGAUAAAAGGAGAAAAAUUAGAUGACAAUAAUUAUGAUAUAUAACGUAGAAAAAUUCAUUACCUAUUAAGUGAACAAGAGAUCUUGAAGACCUUAACUAAUGUCAUGAUCCAAUCCAAAGAAGAGAAUUUAGCUUAACAUCACCAUGAUUUGGAAACUUAUUAUUCUUUGUGUUAGAAAAAAAAAAAAAAAAGACUAAUCCAACCUACGGUAAUCACCCUAGGGGGGUGAAUAGGGUGAUGAUCUAUUUUUCUAAAUUUAAACUAUGUGAAUGUUAGAAACAUAUAUAUGCAAGUAUAUAAUAAAACAAUAUAAAAACAAUUACAAAUAAAGUAAAGGAAUGGGGAAAAGAUAAUGUAAACAUAAGAUUUUUAUAGUGGUUCGGCGCAACCCGACCUACAUCCAUUCUCCUCCAACAUUAAUCCCAAACUUAGAUUAUUCUUUUCAAAUAUAUGCAAAUAAUUUCACAAACUCCUAGUAUAAAACUUUAGACUCAAAUGAUACAUGUAAACUAGGAUUGAAUAGUGUACUAAAGAUAUACAAGUUUUAGAACAAUGAUGUACUAAAAAACACUUUUCCAAAGCUCAAAUAUAUUUAAGAAAUGUUUAGGAAGGUUAAACUCAUAAAAUAAUAAAGAUUUGAGUCUUUUUAUAAAAUAAAAAAGUCAAACUAGUCAUUGGGGGGUCGACCGAUCAAUUUGGGGGUCGAAUGAUUAACUAGGCGUUAGUAUUUAAUAUUUGGCAAGUGGUCGUUGGACCUCGAUUGGUUACUAUUCAUACAUUGACUGGUUUAGGUGGGGGUCGAUCGGUUAUUGUUUACACAUUGACCGAUAGAAUAAUUGUUUUGGAAGAGAUAUAAGGUUUUUUUGCACCCCUUGACGGAUUAAGCUAGGGGGUCGACCGAUUCCUCAUCCAGUUCAACCAGUUGAGCCGUUUUUGGCUUAAUAACCAACCUUUUAAAUAAGUUUGGAAAACAUUUGAUAUAAGGAUUUAGUUGAAAACAUGGAAUCAUCUAAAUUUAAAAAAUUUAAAACAAAAUAACUCUUAGAUGAUUUUGGUGCAUAAGUAAAGAAUAUAAUGCAUGAAAAUCAUAGUGCACCAAUAACCUUACAAAGAGAUCUCAUAAAAUUUGGGUUUUGAAAAACACUUCUCUUUGAGAUCUUCUUUUUCUUCGUAAUUUUUCUUUGACUUGAUUUGUCUUUGUAAUUGUCAUUUUGAAAAUCGUCUUACCUAAUCACACUUAAAAUAUAAUUAUUAGUUCUAAACCAUAUUUUGUUAUCAUCAAAACCAAGAUUAAUCAAACUUUGGUUUCACACUUGUGUUAAAAGAGACUAUUGUUCAUGUUUCACUAUAGUAACAUGCACAAUGACUUAAUAUGGGAGUUUGAGAAUUGUCCCACUGCUUAAGACAUGUGGAAUAAGCUUAAGAUUGCCUAUGGUUUGACAUAUGCAACUAGGUUGCGAGUGCUCACUUUGUAGUUCGAGUAAUAUGUCUUGGACCCCAAACACACCAUGUUUAAACAUUUUAGGAUAAUGUCAGUAAUAAUUCGUGAUUUAAAGGUAGUCAAUAAUAACCUAACUUAUGAGUAACAAGUCACAAUUGUUAUUUGUUAUUUACUUGAAUCAUAAGGACAAAUAAAACUUAAUACUCAUGCAUAAUGAGAAUAUUAAAACUUUUACUAAUAUUUUUCACCAGAUUAAGUUAGAAAAUGAGUGUUUAGGGCUAUGACAUACCACACUUGUCGCCCAUGCAGGGUACAACAUGGUAAUAAGCCUAAACAUAAGGGACAAGGAAAACACGGUUAGACAAUUGGAAACUUGGGCCGAAAAAAAGGAAAUCAUAAUAAAAAUAGAAAAAAAAAAAAAAAAAAAAGCAAAUGAGGUGAAAAUAAGGAUAAGCAUAAAAAAAAAUGCUACAACUAUGGAAAACUAGGUGUCUCUGCUCGUGAGUGUAUUAAGCUAAAGAAGGUAUAGCCAUAUCCUAAUUUUCGACAUGGUGGACUGUAGGCUUAGGAGCAAUAAAACAUGUAACAAGGAAUAAAGUGACAUUGGGUGGUUGGCGCCGUGUUUUUACUUGACGUGUUUUAUAGUUUCUUAAAAAGUUUUUUCCUCCUCAAGGAGACAACGAUGGAAAAUUAAUUCAUAUUUAAUUUAUAUCAAUUGGUAUUAUUUUUCAUUUUUUAAUUAUAUAAUAUUGGCACAAAUAUGGAGAGAUUUUUUUUCAUAGAUUUGUUUCUAAGUUUUAUUUCUUUAUAUAUUUAUUCAAAUUAAUUUUAUUUAAUCUUAUUUAUAAUAAAUUAAAAAUACAUUAAUUAGGUGGCGGGGUAUGCUUCUACUGUUACCUUUUUAAAGUUAGAAAUAUUAAUGUUUUCUAAUUAUAUAUUUUAUUUUUGUAAAUUUUAAAAAUGCCUCUUAUUUCUUAUUUUUUAUUUUUAAAAAUAGAAAAUAAAAAUAAAUUUGACAAUCAUAUAUAAAAAGGUACAUUUGUUUAUGUUGACACAUCAUAGAUGAGUGUUGUUUGUUGUACAGGAAAAAAAUAAAUAUUAUUAUAGAAUUCUUAUUUUACAACCUUUUAAAAGCUUAAUUAUUGUGAAAUAAUAUUUAAUGUAAUUUAAUAAUGAAUAUAUAUAUUUACAAAAUUCAUAUUUUUUUAUCAACAUACCCCAUAUUAAUAUUAAAUAUAACAAAUUAUAUUAUAUAAAUAUUAAUUUUUUCAACAACAUAACUUCAAAAUAUCUAUUAUUAUUUCUUAUAUCAUUUUUAAUUAUUUUUUAAGUUUUUAUUAAUUUUCAUUUUAUCAAAAUUAUGUCUCAAAAUAUUUAUUGAUAUUUUUAUUUAUAUAUCUAUAAAAUCAAAUUACUAAUACAUCAAUAAAAAUCAAUAUUUUUAUCCUUACUUACAAAGCGCUUUAUAUUUUCUAUCAAUUUAAUUAUUUUUAAAAUAUAAUUACUGAGAAAAAAUAGUAUAUAAUGUUUAUAUUUAAAAUAAAAAUAUCCAUAUAUCUAGGUCAGUCAAGAUUACUAAUGAAUUUAAAUUUCAAAAAAAAAAAAAUAUAUAUAUAUAUAUAUAUAAACAGGCACAAUAAUUAUCGUUUUAACAAAAAUAAGAUAAAAUUAUCUCUGAUGUGAAAAGGAGAACAGAACCCUGCUUGAAUGGGAACUCUUUUUCUUUUGGUCCAGCCUAGAGAGACGUUAGGUGGUUCUCAAAAGGCGAAAUAAGAUUUAAGGAAAAGGUUCGGCGCCUUCUCCCACCCAACGGAUCUCGCUGUGGACCAAUGGGCACAUGACAAAUGAGCUGUUUGGUACAGGUGGCAGCAUCUGACCAUCUGUCACUAUUCACUGUGGGGUCCACACGUCUCCCCCACACGGUCACACCGCCUAUAUAUAGACCCCUGAUUCUGAAGCAUUAGCCAUAUCUACUCAUUCUCCCGAAUACUUUCUUCUGCUUCUCUGUUCUCUUUCAGAUUUCGAGUUGGCUUUGCUCUAUCCUUCGUCAAUGGCGCAAGUUAGCAUCGCGAAGGCCUUUAUGCUCGUUUUCGUAGUCGCGAUCUUCUCUGCGGCUGCCACAGUCUCGGCGCUGGAUAACUCACCUGCGCCGGCCCCAUCGCCGGACGCUGGAUCGGCGUUCUCCCUCCCGCUAUCCGGCGCUGUUGUUGCCUCCUCUCUCGUUUUUUCUCUACUCGCCUUUUUGAAGUACUGAGUUUGGCUAUGUGAGAAGUUUUCAUCGUGGAGAUCGUGGAUUCACUCUGUAGAGACAUUGAUGAUUGUAUUUGAUUUAUUCAUGAUCUACAUUAUUUAUUUAUUUUUAAGUAAAUAAAAUUUUAAUUAAUUUUGUUACAUUGAUCUGUCUAUUCCCUUUCUGAUUCCCCCUUUCGCAAAUUCUAUUUUGUCAUUAAAAAUUAUGCUAUAAGUUUAAUAAAUAAUAAAACAAUAUGGAUUUGAACCUCCUUUAAACUAAAAUUCAGUUGUGGUGCAAAAUGGACUAAAAAGGGACUAAUGCAUGAAUGGUAACUUUUUUUUUUUUUCUUAAAAAAAAAACAUUAAAUGAGUAUUUUUGUCUUUUAUGUUUCCUCGUGGAUGCUUGCUAUUGAAAAUCUUAUUUUUUUUAUUUUCCUCUUGUAUUGAACAACUAGGUUCCAUUUUUUUCCAUCCCAACCACGAAUGGUUAGGGGUCUAUUCUUAUGGUAUGUUUGAAAAAAAUCAAUAUUCAAUACAUUCAUGUCUUACCACUCAUUAAAAAUAGCUAAAAUAUCUUUUAAAAUUUAUUUUUAAAUUUUGAAAUAGUAAAACUUUUUUACCCCUUCGAUUUCUUAAAAUAAUUUUUUUUUAAAUACUUGUCUUCGUUUUACUUAAAGACUCAAAACAAUUGAACUUAGGUACAAAAUAACGAAAAGUAAAAAAAAAAAAACGCACACACAAAUAUACAUAUAAAUAAAUAAAACUUAAGUCCAAUAAUCAUCUAUUAACACCACUUUUAUUUUAUAACACUAUUGAUCGUCAUACAUUCUACAUAAUUAAACUAUGAUGGAAAACUAUUUCUUGAAGUUUAAUUCUGAGAUAAUUUUAACAAAGAGAUUAUCAUGAUCAAUGAUGACGUGGAUUAAUUGUCAAAAAUAUCAAACAUCGGAUUAGGGCCCUCCUAAGUAAUUAAAGAUAUCCAUAGGUAAAAAUAGGAGAAAAUAAUCCCUCAAGGGUAAAAAGGAGAACACCGGUUCUCUGGUGACCUUUUCCCUUUGGGCCCAGUCCUAAGAGACGUUGGGUGGAUCUCAAAAGGCAAAACAAGAUUUAAGGAGAAGGUUCGGCGCCUCCUCCAACCCAACCGACCUAGCUGUGGACCAAUCGGCACAUGCCAAAUGAGCUGUUGGUACAGGUGGCAGCACCUGUCCAGCUGUCACUAUUCACCGUGGGGUCCACACUUCUCGCGCAAACCUCCUAUAUAUCGACCCCUCGUUCUGAAGCCCAGUCACAUCUUCCAGGUGCUCUCCGCUCGAAUAGUUUUCCUGUGUCUCUGUCUCCGGUUGGUUGGUUCUAUUUCUCUGCUCUCUUUCAGCUUUCGAGUUGGUUUUAGUGCUCUGUCCUUCAUCAAUGGCGCAAGUUAGCAUCGCGAAGGCCUUCGUGCUCCUUUUCGUUGUCGCGAUCUUCUCUGUGGCUACCACAGUCUCUGCGCAGGAUAACUCCCCUGCGCCGGCUCUAUCGCCGGACGCUGGAUCUGCGUUCUCCCUCCCUCUAUCCGGCAGUGUUAUAGUCUCCUCUCUCGUGUUUUCGCUUCUCGCUCUCUUGAAGUACUGAGUUCGGAUAUUUGAGAAAAUUUUAAUUUUUAUGUGAGGAUUGAGGAUUGUACUUGAUUCAUUCAUGAUCUAUAUUAUUUAUUUAUUUUAAGGAAAUAAAAUUUAUUUUAUUUUAUCACAUUGUUCUGUUUAUUCCUGAGAAAUGGAGAACUUUUUGUAUGCUUGGACCUCACGAAACAUUGCACAAACUUCAUGUGGACCAAAUCUAAUAAUGAAUUUGAAUUUGAAAAACAAUAAUAACAAAUUGGGAUCAUUCGUCAUGUUGUGGGUAAUACUUUUCUAAGGAUUAAACAUUUGAAGCGAUUUCUUGUCCGAAACCACUUAUAAUUACGCGUGUUUGACCCUGUUUCAGUUUUGUAAUUUUUGUCUUUGUUUUUCCUCAACAUUAUAUUAAAUUUUUUUGAAUAUUUAAAUUGGGUUAGAAAAACUUUUUAUAUUCCCAAUAAUAAGAUCGAAAGUAAUUGCCAUACGUUUAAUAUAUAUACAAUUUCUAAUAAUGAAUAUAGAUUUUUAAAAUACAAAUAUCAAACGCGUAUUUGGAAAUUGUUUAUUUUUAAUAAUAAAAAACAAAUCUACAACUUUAAAAAUAGAAAGGAAAUCAACGAAAAUUAAUCUUAUAACUAAGAAAGCGGUUUGACAAAAUUUUGAUAAAAAAAAUAUGUUUUUUUAGAAAUAUUUUAAAAAUAAGUAAAUUUCAUUAGUGUUUUUAAUGUUUAAAAAAAAUAUGGAUUUGAAAUUUUAUUAAAUGUUUUUAUUAUUUUAAAUUAAAUGGAAAGUAAGAAAAAUAAUAAUAAUAUUUGAUAAAAUUUUAAAUGAUUGAUGAUUAUAUAGAUUUAAUUCAAAUUUUAAAUGAGAUAAAUGAAAUUAAUCUGUUUAUUAUUAUUUUGAGGAAUAUGGAAUGAUUUUUAUAUUUUAUAUAAGUAUAUAAUAUUUUUUUUUAAAAAUGAUCAUCAAAAUUAAAAAUAUUUGAAUUUUCAAUGAUUUUUUUUAUAGAAUUUUUAAUAAUAAUUUUGUAUAAAUAAUGCCACAUAAACGACAAAAUAUCUUUGGUGAUUGGGCUUUACGUGUAAAAAAGAAAGCUGAAAAUGGAUCACCUAGCUUUGGUGACUUUUCGUCAGUUCCACUUUCCAAGAGAGCCGUUAUAGAUUUUUCAAAGUAGAGAUAUUUUUGAAAGCAACGUAAAACGGCCACUUCUUGGCUUUCGUGUUUCACACGUAAUUAGAAAUUUAGAAGAAGCAUCUUUUUCUUUGUUUUGUUUUGUUUUUUUUCCACACCCAUGAAUUGAAUGGUAUGUAGAGAGUUGAAUGGAUCGAAUCAUAAAAAGCCAGCCCCUGACCGAGUCACUGAGUCAUUAUGUCUCAAUAAUGAUUCCUAACGGUGAAUCGUCGAAUUCAGAUUUCUUCCAAACUAAAUAGUUUGUAAUUUAUAUUUCUAUAUUGAGAUGUGGGGCAUUAGAGACAAGGAACGUGUCAAAUAAGAAGUACUGCGCCACCCAUCGCCAGCCCCGCCGUGGACCAAUCAGCACAUGCCAUUAAUGAGCUGUUUGGUAUACGUGGAAACCUAUGACCAACGGUUCCCAUUCACACUAGACCCACGCGUCUUUCCAAAGCUACCUAUUUAUAGAACUCAUCUUCUCAAACCCUAAUAGCAUAUUCUCUCAAGAGUUCGAAAACACUUUCAUCUCUAACCUCUCUGUUUUCUCUAUUUCUCGUUGUCUUACGGAGUUUAUUCAAACAUGGCCCAAGUUAGCACCGUGAAGGCCACUAUGAUCCUCUUUGCUAUUGUGAUGUUUGCUGCAGCUGCUACAGUCUCGGCACAAGAAGUUUCUCCGACUCCAUCGCCGGAUGUUGGAUCAGCCUUUUCCGUACCUCUCCCCAAUGCCAUGAUUGUUUCAUCUCUGCUCGUUUCUCUCAUCGCUCUCAUAAAGCAUUGAAAUGGGAUUCGAGAUGUCGAAAUUAUCUUUUAUGUAUUGAUUUUAUAGAAGGAUCGAGUAUUGUAUUGUACUUAUUAUUGAGGAUUGUAUUUGAUUUAUGGAUGAUUCUCAUUAUUUUAUAAAUAAAUAAAUAAAAUUUUAAUUAUCUUUGAUUGUUAUCAUUUUUGUUUUAUUAUUGCACUUUUUGAUUGCAAAAAAAUGCUUUAAAGCAUUGAUUUUAUUAUAUGUCUCUAUUUUUCUCAUUUGAUAAUUUGGAUGAGAAUUGAAAUAUUAUAGGAUCGCAUAUUAACAUUUAAACAUGUAUUUAAUAGCAAAAAUUCAACCGAUUACCUUGAUUUAUGUCAUGGGAAGUCAUUUCUUCUCCCUCUGAUAUCCAAUAAGCUGCUUUUUGGGUGUGUGAUUGUUCGAGAAUUAUGGAUCAAUGAGCUCUUCCCUUACCUUCCAAAAUUCAGUCCAAAGUGCAAAUAUAUGUGUUUGAGUCAGUCAAGUAAAUUAAGAUGAAUCCAUAAAAAAUAAAACAAUAAUAUGUAUCUAGUCCCCUUAUGGAUCACAAUACAAAAAAUAAAUUAACACUUAUUUAUGAUAUUAUCAAAUUGAUUAUGUAAGUCCAUACAUAAAAAUUCCAACAAAUUUUACAUGUUUUUUCUUAUUUAAUAAUUUUAGAUAUUUUUCUUUAAUUUAAAAUAAAUAAGAUAUUUAACAAAAUAUUAAAUUAAUGAAAGUUAAUUAUAUUUAGACAAAACUAAGUGAAAUUAUCCCUUAGUUUAAAUUGGUAAGAUGCUUGUACUUUUUCUUAAAGUAGGUGUCCUAGUCUAGAACAACCAGCUUUACAGCUUACCAGAUUUCCAGAAUUAUUACCCAUGUGCCAACCCAAAAUUUGGCACCAAAAUCAUUUUAUUUUAUUUUAUUUCUAAAUGUUAAUGGGUAAUUACAACAUACAAAUUUUUUUGGAGAAAAUUAUGCUUUAUAGAACUUGAAAUUGACCAUAUGAAUGACAUAAUUGACAGAAAAUAUAUGAAAUUGUAAAAGAUAAAAAUACCAAAGAAAAUGACACAUAAAAUCUUUUUAAAAAUUGAUUGAUUGCACACAUGGUAAUGAUCCCGAAAAAUAUCUUAAUUUUUUAUUUGAUUAAUAUAAGAAAAUGUUAUUUACAAAAUAUCUUUCUUUUUUUUUACAAAAACCAAUUUCUAUUUGAAUUAGAAAAUAUUUAUAAAAAAAAUAAUUUUAUGUUAUAAAAAAAAACUCUCAAAUUUAUUAAGAAAAUAACUAUAAUUUAUUUAUUUUUAUGUUUCUAAUUUUCGGUUUAGAUUUUUUACCCAAUUGGUCAAAGCACAAUUUUCCCCAUUUUUUAUUCACAUUCAUCAUUAAAUGAAUCAAAUAUUUGAAGGCCUUUCUCCUUCAAUAAUGUGCUACAGGGGAAUUGAACGUUGGGCUAAUGCCACCCUCACCAUUUGCGUGACAACAAGGAUUUGAAUAGCAGCAAUUAACUAUUGCCAGCUUGGAAAAAGAAACCUUAGAAAGAAAAAAAAAACUAACGUUCAUUAUUCAAAAUUAAUCAGUCUUUUUGUAUUUUAUAUUAUUAAAUUAAUAAUAAAUAUUAUAAAAGAACAAUUGGGUGUCACAUGCCGACAUGAGGAGUCUAAGACCAACUGGCACAUAACACAAUCAGUUCCCGGGAAACUCGGCUUUUAUCAUGUUUAAUAAUAAAUAAAUAAAAAAUGAUUUAAGAUUAAUAUAUUACAUUAUUUUUCUUAUUCUUACAAUUUAAAAUUGAAUUUAAAAGUAAAGUAAUUAUCGAGGAAGAAUCCACCACACUGUACCCACUCAGCCACAUGCGCCCGUUGAGCUGUUGUCUAGUGGCUGCCUGGCUGGGCCGCUUCACCAGCUGUUAUUAUUCGCAGUGGGCCCUACUUGCCACUCCAACGUCCUAUAUAUUUGGGGUGGCUUCCUCUCUCGGUCUCACCAGCCCUAAGCCACUCUCAAAAUCACUCGCCUCCUUUCUCUCUCUAACUCUCCCUCAGUUUCUCACCGCCGAUCAGCUUCUCCACUGUUCACCAAUGGCGCAAGUUGGCAUGACGAAAGCCUUAAUGCUUGUCUUCGCAGUGGUGGCAAUCUUCUCUACGGCUGCUACAGUGUCGGCUCAAGAUGGCGCCCUGGCACCGGCUCCGUCGCCAGACGUCGGAUCUGCGUUCUCCGUACCUCUCUCCGGCGCUGUUAUGGCUUGCUCUCUUGUCCUCUCUCUUCUCGCUCUCCUGAAGCCUUGAGUUCCGAUCCAUGAGAGAUUGCAGAUUUUGUAUAUGGAUUGAAAUUUGAGGAUCGUAUUAAAUUUAUUCUUUGUUCAUUUGGGAGCAUUAUUAUUGUUACCAUUUUGUGUUAUUAUUUUAUUAUCAUAAUGAUAUAAGAGAUUUAUACUUAUUAUGUCGGAUCCGAUCUGCGUGAUGCUCUCUCUUCUCUUUUCCUCAAGAGAUUGCCAUUCUGAUUUUCUUCCAACGAAGCGAAUUGUUCUUGCAAAAGAAAACACUAAACCAUAAAGUAUUUUUAUAUUUAAACACGCAUGCAUAUGCUGUUUUCCAUAUUUAUUUUCAUUGAAAUAUCAUAGAGAAUUUUUUGUAGGUAAUUUUAUUUAAUAUUUUUUAAAAAUCUAAUCACUGAUAUCUUCCCUUUUAAGCUUUUAAUUUAUUAAUGGAAUUAUUAAAAUUAGAAGUUAAAUAGAGAUGAUUACUGACUUAGUAAUAUGUAUUAUAAUAAGAAAAAUAUAUUUAAUGUAAUAAUUGUAAAUUUAUUUAAAUUUAAAAAUUUUCACUUUAUUCAAUUAAAAUUUCUUAUACUAACCUUUUAUUUAUAUAUUUCUGGACCCCGGCCGCAUGAUUUGCGUUGAUGCAAGAUAAAGUCUACAAAUUAACGGAUAUUUCCAAAAGAAGAAGGGUAACGGUCAUCACCAAAUGUUAUUUUAUUAUGUUAAUAUUUAAUAGUUUUUAAUUUCCUUUUUAUAGAAAAAUAAUACAGAGGGACCCACCAACAUAGCUGUAAAGACACCAACACUGCACUUCACAUGUCCAUUUCAGCGUACGGUUGAAUUGUGACACGUCAUCAGAGUUGGUCUCCAAAGUGGGCCCCACACGCCGCUGCAAUUCACGAACGCUGUUGCUUAUUAUUCUCUCCCGGUUUCCAGAUUGUUCUGUUGUUUAUCUUUCAGUAAUGGCGCAAGUUAGCAUGAACAAAGCCUUGAUGGCCGUCUUCACAGUCGCGGUAGUCUUAUCUGCGGCCGCUACAGUAUCGGCGCAGGAUACUUCGCCGGCCCCGGCUCCAUCUCCAGACGCCGGAUCGGCGUUCUCCCUACCUCUCCCCGGCGUUUUCAUUGUUUCCUCUCUCUUCUUUUCCCUUCUCGCUCUUUUGAAACCUUGAGAUUUAUGGAUUGUAUUGGAUUCAUUCUUUGUUUAUUGAAUGAUAAUGUUUAUGAACAAAAAUCAUGGUAUUAUUUUCGUUGUUCAUGGGAGGGCUUAAAGCUUCGAUUCACUUAUUGCAUAAAUAGAAGCUUGAAUCUCAAUUUGAUAGUGCAAUAGCACAAAAAUAAAAUAAAAUAAUUGAUCUAUAAACGUAUUCGAUUGGAUCAGUCAUAAUUAUAGAAAGAAACCACUUCUUGGAGGCUCCUUUUCAAUAUUUUUUCUUAAUGAGAAUACCAAAUAAUAAAAUUUAAUAUAUAUAUAUAUAUAUAUAUAUAUAUAUAUAUAUAUAUAUAUAUAUAUAUAUCAAUUGAAUAACAAUUAUACUAAUCGAAUUGAGUGGUUGAAUUUUCCCUUUUGAGAAAACAAAAAAAAAGAAAAAAA
rnacentral:lncRNA from 1 species